CACGUAGGCAGCGAGCGUUGUUCGGAAUUACUGGGCGUAAAGAGUGUGUAGGCGGUGCUCUAAGUUCGGUGUGAAAUCUCCUGCUCAACUGGGAGGGUGCGCCGGAAACUGGAGUGCUUGAGCGUGGGAGAGGAAAGCGGAAUUCCUGGUGUAGCGGUGAAAUGCGUAGAUAUCAGGAGGAACACCUGUGGUGUAGACGGCUUCUGGACCAUAGCUGACGCUGAGGAGCGAAAGCAUGGGGAGCGAACAGG
rnacentral:rRNA from 1 species